rnacentral:rRNA from 1 species
UACGAAGGGGGCUAGCGUUGUUCGGAUUUACUGGGCGUAAAGCGCACGUAGGCGGAUCGUUAAGUCGGGGGUGAAAUCCUGGAGCUCAACUCCAGAACUGCCUUCGAUACUGGCGAUCUUGAGUCCGGAAGAGGUGAGUGGAACUCCUAGUGUAGAGGUGGAAUUCGUAGAUAUUAGGAAGAACACCAGUGGCGAAGGCGGCACACUGGUCCGGUACUGACGCUGAGGUGCGAAAGCGUGGGGAGCAAACAGG